AUUGAACGCUGGCGGAAUGCUUUACACAUGCAAGUCGAACGGCAGCACGGACUUCGGUCUGGUGGCGAGUGGCGAACGGGUGAGUAAUAUAUCGGAACGUGCCCAGUCGUGGGGGAUAACGUAGCGAAAGUUACGCUAAUACCGCAUACGAUCUACGGAUGAAAGCGGGGGAUCGCAAGACCUCGCGCGAUUGGAGCGGCCGAUAUCAGAUUAGGUAGUUGGUGGGGUAAAGGCUCACCAAGCCAACGAUCUGUAGCUGGUCUGAGAGGACGACCAGCCAAACUGGAACUGAGACACGGUCCAGACUCCUACGGGAGGCAGCAGUGGGGAAUUUUGGACAAUGGACGCAAGUCUGAUCCAGCCAUUCCGCGUGCAGGAUGAAGGCCCUCGGGUUGUAAACUGCUUUUGUACAGAACGAAAAGGCUCUUCCUAAUACGGAGGGCUCAUGACGGUACUGUAAGAAUAAGCACCGGCUAACUACGUGCCAGCCGCCGCCGUAA
rnacentral:rRNA from 1 species